UCAGGGGGACAGCAAUAAGAUAACUGUCUGCCAGCCUGGCCAGUUCACCCAUCAGCCUGUCCAGACACUUAAAAAGGAAGAAGGUUUCCGUGAUGGGCACCAGGCUGGCACUACAAGAGCACUACCGCGCUGCUUAUCUCCCACUGCAGUGCUCACUCUGUGCGCCAGUGUCCCGGGCUUCCAUUUUAUAGGCAAUGCAAAGCCACAUACUGUAUGCCGCUAAAUACUGUAGAUGUUCUUGAAUCUUUGUCUUGCAGUGUAGUCUUCAGUGAGUAACUGAAUCCACAGCAACAAGUAAAGAUGAAUGCAAAGAGGAAACACAGAUCUCCCCACUGCCGAGCAAAGGAGAAGCCUUCACGCUGAAGAGUCCUGGGAGACCCAGAGAGCAAGUUAGGGAGUUCAGCAGCCAGAGAAAGGGGAGUAAGAGGAAGUACUGUAACAGCACCUUAAUGGAGAAAGGCAGGAAGCGAGAGAAAGAUAGACCGAAUCGGAAGGAAAGGAACAGCUCUUUCUGCAGAGCUGAUGAUAAGCAAUGAAGAACUCUGGCAGGCGAUUUCACUGCCAGGUCACAGCGGAAAGCAGAAAUGCCCAAAGCGAUGACCGGAUCGGAGUGGACCGGGUCGGGGACUGGAGCCGAGAAGCACUUCCCCGCAGAGCCAGGAGACCUCCUUGUGAAGGAAAAGGUGCCCGAGGGCCCCCGGUCAGAGACAGUCCCCAGGCAGAGGGGCUACACUGGCCCGGGCUGCAGCCCGGAGCACAGCCGGUUCUCGUCCACACAGGGCCCAGUUAAGGAGAGGGAGUGGCACAGAAAGCACCGAGGACCUCAUCAGUCUUCACCAGCCCCGUGGCUCUUUUCCAAAACAGGAGACCCGGGCGGACAGUUUCCCGAGCAGCACUCCUGCGGGGAAGAUGAGAACGGAGGCGACUCCCGCCGAGAUGAUAUCAGCUGAGCUGUAAUUCAUCACUGCGGAGGAGGAGGGGAGCGAAGCCUGGCCUGGCAGGUGGGGGAGGUGAGAGGGGCAAUUCACACUUUUCUCCCAUCCUCUUCUGCUCCCUCUCUCUUUCUAAGUUCUUGUAGUUUUCCUGUGCUUGGAGCGCUCCGUGGGUCAUGUGAUUUUGUCUUCUGCAGGCAGGGUGGGACCCGCCCCUUGUGGGCUCGGAGGACUCGGUCCAAACGCGCAGUUCAGCUCAUCUUGGCUGCGUCACGGCGUCUCUGUGCCAGGACUGAAGCCCAGGGCCUCCUGGGAUUCCCAGAGCUGCCCUGAACGUUACACUGGAAUAAGGGAGGACAGGGGAGAGACACUACACUGGAAACCGAUUCACUGGAGAUCAGCUUAGCAUCUAGAUCAGAGUUUUUAAUCAAAUUGCUUGCACUUCCCGGAAACAGUGUCCUUCCUGAAGCUCCCUAACCAAAUGGAAAUCUCUUUUUAACAACAGAAAACAAGAUCUUGGCUGUCACUGUGCACUAAUACUAAAUUUUUCAGAUGCAUUUCUGACAUAGAGUCUCUGUAAGUGCGCAGGAGACAAAGAAGAGCAGAAUUUGCUGUAAUUUGCAGUAAGCAGCUGCACCUGAAGAGCUGUGAGAAAUUUGAUUUGGACCAAUUAAGUCAAUUACAAGUUGAGUUUUGCUCAUUAAGAGUAGAUUUGGAAUGAUCACCUGCGGACACACCUGCCCUCUGGGAAGUUGCUUGCUUCAGGAAUCAUUCCUAAAUUAGCAUCUUUCUUUCAUAAUGUGAAAAUAAAACCCAGUUUUGGUGUGAAGAGUAUCUACAA